CCUACGGGGGGCAGCAGUAGGGAAUAUUGCUCAAUGGGGGCAACCCUGAAGCAGCAACGCCGCGUGGAGGAUGACGGUUUUCGGAUUGUAAACUCCUUUUGUUAGAGAAGAUAAUGACGGUAUCUAACGAAUAAGCACCGGCUAACUCCGUGCCAGCAGCCGCGGUAAUACGGAGGGUGCAAGCGUUACUCGGAAUCACUGGGCGUAAAGGGCGCGUAGGCGGGAUAGCAAGUCAGAUGUGAAAUCCUAUGGCUUAACCAUAGAACUGCAUUUGAAACUGUUCUUCUAGAGUAUGGGAGAGGUAGGUGGAAUUCUUGGUGUAGGGGUAAAAUCCGUAGAGAUCAAGAGGAAUACUGAUUGCGAAGGCGACCUGCUAGAACAUAACUGACGCUGAUGCGCGAAAGCGUGGGGAGCAAACAGGAUUAGAUACCCGAGUAGUC
rnacentral:rRNA from 1 species